rnacentral:rRNA from 1 species
GACGAACGCCGGCGGCGUGCUUAACACAUGCAAGUCUAACGGAAAGGCCCUGCUUUUGUGGGGUGCUCGAGUGGCGAACGGGUGAGUAACACGUGAGUAACCUGCCCUUGACUUUGGGAUAACUUCAGGAAACUGGGGCUAAUACCGGAUAGGAGCUCCUGCUGCAUGGUGGGGGUUGGAAAGUUUCGGCGGUUGGGGAUGGACUCGCGGCUUAUCAGCUUGUUGGUGGGGUAGUGGCUUACCAAGGCUUUGACGGGUAGCCGGCCUGAGAGGGUGACCGGCCACAUUGGGACUGAGAUACGGCCCAGACUCCUACGGGAGGCAGCAGUGGGGAAUAUUGCACAAUGGGCGGAAGCCUGAUGCAGCAACGCCGCGUGCGGGAUGACGGCCUUCGGGUUGUAAACCGCUUUCGCCUGUGACGAAGCGUGAGUGACGGUAAUGGGUAAAGAAGCACCGGCUAACUACGUGCCAGCAGCCGCGGUGAUACGUAGGGUGCGAGCGUUGUCCGGAUUUAUUGGGCGUAAAGGGCUCGUAGGUGGUUGAUCGCGUCGGAAGUGUAAUCUUGGGGCUUAACCCUGAGCGUGCUUUCGAUACGGGUUGACUUGAGGAAGGUAGGGGAGAAUGGAAUUCCUGGUGGAGCGGUGGAAUGCGCAGAUAUCAGGAGGAACACCAGUGGCGAGGGCGGUUCUCUGGGCCUUUCCUGACGCUGAGGAGCGAAAGCGUGGGGAGCGAACAGGCUUAGAUACCCUGGUAGUCCACGCUGUAAACGGUGGGUACUAGGUGUGGGGUCCAUUCCACGGGUUCCGUGCCGUAGCUAACGCUUUAAGUACCCCGCCUGGGGAGUACGGCCGCAAGGCUAAAACUCAAAGGAAUUGACGGGGCCCCGCACAAGCGGCGGAGCAUGCGGAUUAAUUCGAUGCAACGCGUAGAACCUUACCUGGGUUUGACAUGGAUCGGGAGUGCUCAGAGAUGGGUGUGCCUCUUUUGGGGUCGGUUCACAGGUGGUGCAUGGCUGUCGUCAGCUCGUGUCGUGAGAUGUUGGGUUAAGUCCCGCAACGAGCGCAACCCUUGUUCACUGUUGCCAGCACGUUAUGGUGGGGACUCAGUGGAGACCGCCGGGGUCAACUCGGAGGAAGGUGGGGAUGACGUCAAGUCAUCAUGCCCCUUAUGUCCAGGGCUUCACGCAUGCUACAAUGGCUGGUACAGAGAGUGGCGAGCCUGUGAGGGUGAGCGAAUCUCGGAAAGCCGGUCUCAGUUCGGAUUGGGGUCUGCAACUCGACCUCAUGAAGUCGGAGUCGCUAGUAAUCGCAGAUCAGCAACGCUGCGGUGAAUACGUUCCCGGG